AGGAAAAGAAACUAACAAGGAUUCCCUUAGUAACGGCGAGUGAACCGGGAAGAGCUCAAAUUUGUAAUCUGGCUGUCUUCGAUAGUCCGAGUUGUAAUCUAUAGACGUGUUUUCCGUGCUGGACCGUAUCUAAGUCCCUUGGAACAGGGUAUCAAAGAGGGUGAUAAUCCCGUGCUUGAUACGACCACCAGUGCUCUGUGAUACACGCUCUACGAGUCGAGUUGUUUGGGAAUGCAGCUCAAAAUGGGUGGUAAAUUCCAUCUAAAGCUAAAUAUUGGCGAGAGACCGAUAGCGAACAAGUACCGUGAGGGAAAGAUGAAAAGCACUUUGGAAAGAGAGUUAAACAGUACGUGAAAUUGUUGAAAGGGAAACGAUUGAAGUCAGUCGUGUUCUUCAGAUUCAGCUGGUUCUUCCAGUCUACUUCUGUUGAACGGGUCAACAUCAGUUUUGUCCGGUGGAUAAAGGUAGUAGGAAUGUGACUCCUCCGGGAGUGUUAUAGCCUAUUAUUGCAUACACUGGGUGAGACUGAGGACUGCAGCUCGCCUUUUGGCCGGUCUUCGGACACGUUCGAGCUUAGGAUGUUGACAUAAUGGCUUUAAACGAC
rnacentral:rRNA from 1 species